UACGUAGGGUGCGAGCGUUGUCCGGAAUUAUUGGGCGUAAAGGGCUCGUAGGCGGUUUGUCGCGUCGGGAGUGAAAACCAGGUGCUUAACACCUGGCUUGCUUUCGAUACGGGCAGACUAGAGGUAUGCAGGGGAGAACGGAAUUCCUGGUGUAGCGGUGAAAUGCGCAGAUAUCAGGAGGAACACCGGUGGCGAAGGCGGAUCUCUGGGCCAUUACUGACGCUGAGGAGCGAAAGCGUGGGGAGCGAACAGG
rnacentral:rRNA from 1 species